GGGUGCGGAACACGUACACAACCUUCCUAUAAGUGGGGGAUAGCCCAGAGAAAUUUGGAUUAAUACCCCGUAAUAUUAUUUAGUGGCAUCAUUAGAUAAUUAAAGCUCCGGCGCUUAUUGAUGGGUGUGCGUCUGAUUAGGUAGUUGGUGAGGGUAACGGCCCACCAAGCCUUCGAUCAGUAACUGGUGUGAGAGCACGACCAGUCACACGGGCACUGAGACACGGGCCCGACUCCUACGGGAGGCAGCAGUAAGGAAUAUUGGUCAAUGGACGCAAGUCUGAACCAGCCAUGCCGCGUGGAGGAUGAAGGUCCUCUGGAUUGUAAACUUCUUUUAUCUGGGAAGAAAUGCAUUUUUUCUAAAGUGUUUGACGGUACCAGAUGAAUAAGCACCGGCUAACUCCGUGCCAGCCGCCGCGG
rnacentral:rRNA from 1 species